rnacentral:rRNA from 1 species
AGUGAACGCUGGCGGUAGGCCUAACACAUGCAAGCCGAACGGCAGCACAGUAAGAGCUUGCUCUUACGGGUGGCGAGUGGCGGACGGGUGAGGCAUACAUCGGAAUCUACUUUUUCGUGGGGGAUAACGUAGGGAAACUUACGCUAAUACCUCAUACGACCUACGGGUGAAAGCAUGGGAUCUUCGGACCUUGCGCGAGUGAAUGAGCCGAUGUCGGAUUAGCUAGUUGGCGGGGUAAAGGCCCACCAAGGCGACGAUCCGUAGCUGGUCUGAGAGGAUGAUCCGGCACACUGGAAGUGAGACAGGGUCGAGACUCCGAGGGGAGGCAGCAGUGGGGAAUAUUAGGCAAUGGGGGCAAGCCUGAUCCAGCCAUACCGGGUGAGUGAAGAAGGAGUGAGGGUUGGAAAGCCAUUUUGUUGGGAAGGAAAAGAAGCAGGUUAAGAAGCGGCUGUUCUGACGGUACCCAAAGAAGAAGCACCGGCUAACUUCGUG